UCCGGUUUGUCACCGGCGGUCUCCCUAGAGUUCCCAACUAAAUGAUGGCAACUAGCGACAAGGGUUGCGCUCGUUAAGGGACUUAACCCGACACUUCACAGCACGAGCUGACGACAGCCAUGCAGCACCUGUGCACGUUCCACUCUUGCGAGUGUGGCCGAUGUUUCCACCGGUUAAUCCGUACAUGUCAACCCCAGGUAAGGUUCUUCGCGUUGCUUCGAAUUAAGCAACAUGCUCCACCGCUUGUGUGAGCCCCCGUCAAUUCCUUUGAGUUUUAGCCUUGCGACCGUACUCCCCAGGCGGCAUACUUAACGCGUUAGCUCCGGCACGAACCAAAUGAAUGGCUCACACCAAGUAUGCAUCGUUUAGGGCGUGGACUAC
rnacentral:misc_RNA from 1 species